UGGGGUGUCGCCAAGCGGUAAGGCACCGGAUUUUGAUUCCGGUAUCCGUAGGUUCAAAUCCUGCCACCCCAGCCA
rnacentral:tRNA from 1 species